CAUUUAAAAGCUCCCAUUUGUGGCAAACAGGCUGAGGUAUUUUAUUUUUUUCUGUCUGUGCAGAAGAAAUGCAAAUUAGACAUGCAAAAGCUAAUCGCUUCAUUAUAAUUAUUUUUUGUGAGCUGUAACCCAUAAAGAAAGAAUGUUCACCGGCAGGAAAAAAACACCAAGAAACAUUUUUUGCCAACUUCUCAUUUUUGGGGCUGCUCCUGCUAAGCAAGCAGGUUGUCUUGGGGUCUGACUGAAGAUGAGGUUGUCUGUGCUGGGCAGAUCAGCAGACCAUUCUCAGGAAAUUCCACCUGGCCCCAAUGACAUUACUUCAGGUUCUGGGAACAAUGAUGCCACUUCCAUUUCUAACCCCGAUGACAUCACUUCCGUUAAUGGGCCUGAUGAUGCCACUUUCCACUCCAGCCCUGAUGAUGCCACUUCUGGUUCCGGCCCCGAUGAUGUAAAUUCCUCUGUCUCUCCUUAAAUACCACCAUUUUCUACCUGUGCAUCAGUUCUGUUUUUGAACUCCAUAAUACCAGUUACUUUUCUGUGUUUCAAUGACCUGCAAUAUACGGAGCGGUGGCUACCCCAAACCUUUUUGUGGCUCCUUGGUAUUCUUGUUGUGACAAGGGUUAGGCUAUCCUGCAGGAGUAUGAACAACACAUGUAACAUUUACUGGCUGCUAAAAUCUAUUGACCUGGAGUUUUUAUCGUACUGUUUAUUCAUUGCUUUAACUUUUGGAGAGAUUCCUAAUUAAGCCAUGAUUAUCCUCACUACUAUAUUGUUUUCCAACUGGCCUUUCAUCCAUGAUGCCAUAUAAGACAAUACCAUUUGAGCAUGGGCUAUGACAGCCUUUACACCAUUUACUUUCUACGUGGGUUUAGGGUAAAAAUGGGCCAGAGCCUAUUCCAGAAACACUGGGCAUUAGUCAAGAACCUGACUUGGUAUACUGACUGUAAAAAAGGGCAGUCAGACCAAAAAAUUAAAGAGUCAAGAUCAGGAAAAAGAACAGAGUGAAACGGCAAAUCGAUGGUCAAAACCAAAAGUCAAAAAUGAAAGAAGCUUGGAAGCCAAAUACUGAAUCAAAAAUCAAAUUCAAAAGGGAGAACUUACUCCACAGAAGCACAUUGUCACACAAAAGAUUGAGAAGGAAAUGGACGUGUAAUCCCAUGCACAUUGUGCACUUUAAAAAAAAAAAAAAUCAAAAAAAGUCACAUACUCCUAAGUUAACUGAACUGUCAAUCAGAUCAAAGUUUUGUCACAUCCUGUUGGCAACUGAAUGUAACCAAUCAUGUUAAAAGUUUUCUUAUUAUGCAAUGGAUUCCUUGGAACUGUGAUCUACUCAAUGAAGUACAUAAAUAGAGCGCAAUGCCGACUCCUCCUUUGUAAUACUUGGUAAUAAGCUGUUUGUACUCCUGUAAGGGUUACCUUUUGCAAGGCAUACAUAAUAAAGUAGACUGAUUGAU